rnacentral:rRNA from 1 species
GACGAACGCUGGCGGCGUGCUUAACACAUGCAAGUCGAACGGAAAGGCCCUGCUUUUGUGGGGUGCUCGAGUGGCGAACGGGUGAGUAACACGUGAGUAACCUGCCCUUGACUUUGGGAUAACUUCAGGAAACUGGGGCUAAUACCGGAUAGGAGCUCCUGCUGCAUGGUGGGGGUUGGAAAGUUUCGGCGGUUGGGGAUGGACUCGCGGCUUAUCAGCUUGUUGGUGGGGUAGUGGCUUACCAAGGCUUUGACGGGUAGCCGGCCUGAGAGGGUGACCGGCCAAAUUGGGACUGAGAUACGGCCCAGACUCCUACGGGAGGCAGCAGUGGGGAAUAUUGCCCAAUGGGCGGAAGCCUGAUGCAGCAACGCCGCGUGCGGGAUGACGGCCUUCGGGUUGUAAACCGCUUUCGCCUGUGACGAAGCGUGAGUGACGGUAAUGGGUAAAGAAGCACCGGCUAACUACGUG